GUUUUGUCUGAGGGAACGGGAUCUGAGGGAACAGGUUCUAUCUUAGGGAACAGGUUCUGAGGGAACAGGUUCUAAGAGAACAGGUUUUGACGGAACAGGUUCUAUCUUAGGGAACAGGUUCUAAGGGAACAGGUUCUGAGGGAACAGGUUCUAUCUUAGGGAACAGGUUCUAUCUUAGGGAACAGGUUCUGAGGGAACAGGUUUUGACGGAACAGGUUCUAUCUUAGGGAACAGAUUUUGAGGGAAGAGGUUCUACCUUAGGGAACAGGUUCUGAGGGAACAGGUUCUAUCUUAGGGAACCGGUUCUGAGGGAACAGGUUUUGACGGAACAGGUUCUAUCUUAGAGAACAGGUUCUAUCUUAGGGAACAGAUUUUGAGGGACGAGGUUCUACCUUAGGGAACAGGUUCUGAGGGAACAGGUUCUAUCUUAGGGAACCGGUUCUGAGGGAACAGGUUUUGACGGAACAGGUUCUAUCUUUGGGAACAGGUUCUGAGGGAACAGGUUCUAUCUUAGGGAACAGGUUCUAUCUUAGGGAACAAAUUUUGAGGGAACAGGUUCUACCUUAGGGAACAGGUUCUAUCUAAGGGAACAGGUUCUGAGGGAACAGGUUCUAUCUUAGGGAACAGAUUUUGAGGGAACAGGUUCUACCUUAGGGAACAGAUUUUGAGGGAACAGGUUCUAUCUUAGGGAACAGAUUUUGAGGCAACAGGUUCUAUCUUAGGGAACAGAUUUUGAGGGAACAGGUUCUACCUUAGGGAACAGAUUUUGAGGGAACAGGCUCUACCUUAGGGAACAGGUUCUGAGGGAACAGGUUUUGACGGAACAGGUUCUGUCUUAGAGAACAGGUUCUAUCUUAGGGAACAGAUUUUGAGGGAACAGGUUCUGAGGGAACAGGUUCUAUCUUAG